rnacentral:rRNA from 1 species
ACUCAAAGGAAUUGACGGGGGCCCGCACAAGCGGUGGAGUAUGUGGUUUAAUUCGAAGCAACGCGCAGAACCUUACCUGGCCUUGACAUCGCGAGACCGCCUCAGAGAUGAGGUUUCCCCUUCGGGGGCUCGUAGACAGGUGCUGCAUGGCUGUCGUCAGCUCGUGUUGUGAAAUGUUCGGUUAAGUCCGGCAACGAGCGCAACCCCUGUCCUUAGUUACCACCAUUAAGUUGGGGACUCUAGGGAGACUGCCGGUGUUAAACCGGAGGAAGGCGGGGAUGACGUCAAGUCCUCAUGGCCCUUACGGCCAGGGCUACACACGUACUACAAUGGUGAAAACAAUGAGUCGCAAGUCCGCAAGGCCAAGCUAAUCUCAAAAACAUCAUCUCAGUCCGGAUUGAAGUCUGCAACUCGACUUCAUGAAGUUGGAAUCGCUAGUAAUCGCAGAUCAGCACGCUGCGGUGAAUACGUUCCCGGGCCUUGUACACACCGCCCGU